rnacentral:rRNA from 1 species
GACGAACGCUGGCGGCGUGCUUAACACAUGCAAGUCGAACGGAAAGGCCCUGCUUUUGUGGGGUGCGCGAGUGGCGAACGGGUGAGUCACACGAGUGUAACCUGCCCUUGACUUUGGGAUAACUUCAGGAAACUGGGGAUAAUACCGGAUAGGAGCUCCUGCUGCAUGGUGGGGGUGGGAAAGUUUCGGCGGUUGGGGAUGGUCUCGCGGCUUAUCAGCUUGUGGGUGGGGGAGUGGCUUACCAGGGCUUUGACGGGUAGCCGGCCUGAGAGGGUGACCGGCCACAUUGGGACGGGGAUACGGCCCGGACUCCUACGGGAGGCAGCAGUGGGGAAUAUUGCACAAUGGGCGGAGGCCUGAUGCAGCAACGCCGCGUGCGGGAUGACGGCCUUCGGGUUGUAAACCGCUUUCGCCUGUGACGAGGCGUGAGUGACGGUAAUGGGUAAAGAAGCACCGGCUAACUACGUG